rnacentral:rRNA from 1 species
UACGUAGGGUGCGAACGUUGUUCGGAAUCACUGGGCAUAAAGAGCGCGUAGGCGGUCUGAUAAGUCCUGUGUGAAAGCCCCCGGCUUAACCGGGGAAUUGCACAGGAUACUGUCAGGCUAGAGUGCAGGAGGGGAGAGCGGAAUUCCUGGUGGAGCGGUGAAAUGCGUAGAUAUCAGGAGGAACGCCGGUGGCGAAAGCGGCCACCUAGCCCGCACCUGACGCUGAGGCGCGACAGCGUGGGGAGCGAACGGG